ACCCCUUCGUUAGCAAGCUAGCCAGCAGCACAAAAAUGGCAGAGGAUGCGUGAUGAACGGCGCCCCUACGUCACAGUUUCAGCACCGUGGACAGCAUGACGUCUGUACAGGUGCAGCUCCACAACCACCCACAGAGGGGCAGUGCAGCAGUUUGCUCUGUGUAGGGGAGAGAAAAUUAAAUAAAAGUGUGAAUAAAUCAGCAAAACCAGCACACAUGAAGAAGAGAAUAAAUGCAGGAUGCCCACCCUUCCUUCCUUCCUCCAGAGGCAUGCAAUUACAAGAUACUGCAUGACAGCUGAUCAACCAGCCAGACUGACUGCUGCUCCACCCAUCCCGGCUGGAGGAGCUGCAGCGGCGCUCCUGUUGUUCUGGUACAUCUAGCUCUAUGCGUGGCUCAGCCCACCAGAUCCGGCCCCUGUGCUGACUACUGUGUCCUGGGCUGCAGUAACAGAUGUGAAAUCACAUUACCCAAACGCUGCAAUUAGUCUCACUCGCUCGCGGGUUAAUGAGUUUGUGGAAAUGUGCGACCCAUUCCUCAUUAGGUAAUUUCUCAUGCACUGAUGAGAGAGGGAGAGAGAUGUGGGUAUAGCAACUUAGUAGAAAUGGCACAUAGUCUGCUGCAACACAUACUGUAAAGCAAAAGAAGGGGGCGAGGGGCUUUUCUGAUGCUCACAAAUGCAAAAAACUUAAUCUCACCUAUAGCCAAAUGUAAAAUUCCAAAUUUCACACUGUCAAACCUUCUGCAUUUGCACCUAGGAGUUCCAUUACAGAGGGUUUGUGAAGCAGCUUCUGGGGUUGCAUCAGUGUGUCUCAUUAAGGACUCACUAUGCUUAUUUCCCUGCUGCGAGGCCACAGAGCCUGUGUGUGAAUAGACAGCCUGGGGCAAAGCUCUGUCAGGACACAAUGGACGACAACAAAAGAACUAAUUAGCAAUCAAUUACCGACGUGUUUCUGUCCUGCACCUUUUAUCUGGUUAGUUAGAGUGUAGAGCAGGUUACCACCACUCAACAUGUCCCUUUCACACACACACACAGACCACCUGCUGCCUGAGUGUGUGUGUGGCUUUUGGUGAAUUUGGAUUAUUGCACGGAUAUAUGUGGUUACCCAGUGAUGCUCAGUUUAAUGGAGGAGAAUGUAACCUCUCUGCUGCGUGGGAUAAAGGUGAAAAAUCUUCAAAUUAAUCCAAUUUAGGCCCUUUAGAGGAAGUUGCUUUUCACCGUGUCUGCACCUAAGAGCGUCAAAGAUAGUUGUUCAUUAGGUUCAUCUGUGCCAAUCAGCCUCUAAACUCCCCUUUAUUGUAUCUCAUUGCUUCCGUUCAUUGUUGCAAUUACUUGUAGUUGAUGUAAGUUUCGACCAAAGAGGAAAUUUCUGCCAUUAAUGAACACUGAAUCUGCAAUUUCAUAAAAACACAGUGUAGAUGAAGUAGAUUUAGUGUCUAAUUUGAGCAUGUGGCUUGCUCAUUUUGACUUCUCUCUGUGUCUAACGUACACACACACACACACACAGUGACAUCUGGGGGGAAAGUGUGCUGUGAGGAGGCUGCGAGUGCCUCUCAUGAUAACAACUCUGCAUCUCAACAACCUACAUCCAUCAUCAUCAACACUAACAUCUGCUCUGAGCCUCAGCCUUAAAUCUCUUUCUACUCCCCCAACCCUUUACCUCUCUCUACUUUCCACCCUCUCUCCCCCUUUCCUCACUCUCUCCUUUUCUUCCUCAGCUUCCGUUUGGUCCGUCUUUUUGCCUCCGGACCAAAAAAGGUCCUUUAUUUUUUUAAACCCUUCUCCAAAAUCUGCUCCUUCCAAAUUUCCCUCAUCUGCAUAUUAUGUGAAGAUGUGUUUUGUGUUUCAACCACCCUUAAAAAUCAAUAUUUAAUGAUGAUGUUAUCAGUGCUUUUAUGUGUAAUUUAGCUGGAGUGUCAGUAUGAAUGAGAUUCUGUCAGCUUUAUGACGUCAAGCAUUUAUUUUCUGUUAAUGGGUGCUCCUGGUGGUACACAAACCAAAACCCAGCGGACGUCUGAUGGAUUUGUCUGUUUCAUUUCUGUUCAUGCAUGCAAUUACAGCCAUGCUUGCAAGCAUACUCUACAUGUCUACCUACCAACACGCACACAGACACACACACACACAGUCAAGAUGAUUAUACAAUCCAAGAAAUCUAAUUAGUAAGUAUAAAUGCGAGAAAUAUUAAACAAGGAAAUUGUAAAUAAAUUCCAUAAAUACUAGACUUUGAAGCUUUAUAGUGUCAGAGCAAGACAGCGAAUGCAUCACUGAACUGUUCACAUUAGUUUGAUCCUAAAACACAAUCAAUCAAAGCAGCUGUUUGUUGCAAAACACCACGGCACUGUCUGAUUUUGACAUUUUCCCGAUCCAUGACAAUUACUUCACCUCCUCAGCUCUGGGAGCCAACAUUGUUGAGAGGCAAUAAUCAUGAUAGUUUUCUCAGUCAUUUUUCUCCCAAUAACAAGCCAUUUUUAAUCCAAUUAGGAGUGCUAACGUGAGAGGCAUAAUACCACGGCCCCUGGGACAGAUGAGAGAAUAUGCAGGACAUUUAUCCCGACAGUCAAUAUUGGAUUUCUCACUAAGCAGCUGUGCCUGCUCUCUCUGACAUUCUCCACCUCUGCACAGUGAUCCGUCCUGAUUAAACCGGCUUUUCUACUUUAUCAACAUUCAUUACAUGACCUGGUCAUGCAUGGCCACGGAAACCAGGAGUAGCAAAGUUACAUGCCUCACGUUGGGGUUUUCCUGCUGCACUUUUUCUCUGUGUUCAACUGAAAAGUGAAAGAUGAUCUGUCACAUGGUGCAUUCUUUUUGAAAUCAUAUUAACAGAUAGGUGUGUUAUGGUAUUCCCCAAAAAGUUUCCUCAUCAAGACUGAAAGGUUAUAUUGUUUUUUACCUGUUAAACCUGAAAAGGCAGGUUAAAACCAAAACUAGUUCUGUAUUAAAAUAUAGUCCUGUGGUUCUAAUACCCAGAAGUUCUUCGGUGUCUUUUCCUGAUUUGGAUUCCCUGAUUUUAAUUUAAUUUUAAGGAUGGAAAAUUCACAUUUCCACUCAUGUUUAUUGUUUUUGUUCAGUUCACUCACCCCUGCUGAGGCGCAGAAAAAAUAAUUUAGUGUGAAAACACUUUAGGGUAAGAAAGCAACAAAGAGCUGUCAGCACCUUGAUGCCAACAGCAGCUAAACAUUGCCACCUUGUGGUGGCUGUUGGAUAGAUCUCAGUCCUGUAAAAAAAAUGAUUUUUAUUCAUUCUUACAAUUAUUUAUUAAUUUUUUUAGAACAUAAAGACUAGACAGAUGUCAAUAGAUUUCUCAUCUCGGUAUCACAUAGUGAAAUAUGUCUGUUAACUCUACAGAGAGUCGCACAAUUAUUGUUCCAUCAAAACUUAGCUAAUAAAACACAGAAAAUGCAAAGAAAGAGGGCUGCUGUUUAUAGCUGAUUGCAGUCAAUACAUUUAUGCAGUGCACUGAAUCAUUGUCAUUGAGUGUAUUGAUUAUGUGGACUAAUCAAUGUUUAUUAGGCAGGAUAAGACCGGCUAGACCACAGUGGAGGCUGAAUGAUGAAGGAACACGUUUACUCAGUGUCACAGGCCCACCCACCUGCCCUGAGCAGACCUGCUGCAGAGAAUCAGGAAACUUCUACCAGGGAAACUAAAAUUAUAUGGUAAUUAUUUUUAUGAAAAUUGAAUGUUUUAACCUUCUAAGAUCAUAUGGAUUAUGAAUUAUGUAUCAUGUAUCUUGAAAUUAUAUGAUGGCCUAAGAGGGGGCUGAACUUGAUAAGCUUUGCUUCCUUUAGCCCCUUCUCGAACUUGCACUUUGUAAUAGUAUGCCA